rnacentral:rRNA from 1 species
UACGUAGGGUGCGAGCGUUAAUCGGAAUUACUGGGCGUAAAGGGCGCGUAGGCUGCCUUCUAAGUCGAACGUGAAAUCCCCGGGCUCAACCCGGGAACUGCGUCCGAUACUGGAAGGCUUGAAUCCGGGAGAGGGAUGUGGAAUUCCAGGUGUAGCGGUGAAAUGCGUAGAUAUCAGGAAGAACACCCGUGGCGAAGGCGGCUCUCUGGGACGGUACUGACGCUGAGACGCGAAAGCGUGGGGAGCAAACAGG